GCAAAUUUCGCUACUUGUGCUUGACAGAAUCCUGAGAAUGCGAAGCCUUUUGUAGCCAGAAAAAGCACAAUGUGAAUUUUCUACUCUUGUACUGCUGAGAUGACUCAAUACCAGUCUACAGGGGUCUGAAGAGAGCAAAGUACUUUCCUUACUUCCAUAUGGUACUGCAGGAACAGGAAGAGUAAAGUGGAGAGACAGUGGCUGUAAGGAGCAGCCCUGCACAACUUCUGUUCACCCGUGGCUGUGCCAAAGCAAGGCUUGGGCUUUGGGUGGGUUCCAGGAGGAGCUCCUGCCCUGCCAGGACACACUGCAGCCCCAGGCAGUGCCACAGCCAGGCAGCCCCAGCUCCCUGCACUGCUGCUCCAGCCCAGAGCUCUUCCAAGGCCCAGGGAGCCUGGAUGGAUUGUAAUGCACAUGGAUAGACUGAAAUGCUCAGCAGAUGAUUUUGCUUAAAUCUCAAGUGGAUUUGAUGAGCUGCUCCACACCAAUGUGGACAAUACCUUUGUUUCCUUGUCGAUGCAAACUUGGGAGCAUUUUCCCAAGAUCCUGAAUUAUGCCUGCUGCUAAACUCCAAGAGUUCUCAGGUGAGCACGUACUUUUCUUACAGAGGUAACCAAGUUCUGACAUGCUCAGAGGUCAUGCAUCAAGUUCAAAAGUUUUGCACAAGUAAAGCACAACUGAGAGCAUUAUUGUCUUUCAAAAUUAUUAUUGUAAUAUCUAGUG